GAGGCAGCGACCAAGCGGCGCACAAGAAAUCGUCGGGCGACGGCUUCAAAUGAACGCAAAACGUUGAAAAGCAAACAUCCGCCAAAAAAAUAAACGUCCCAAAAUUGCGGCAGCUAAAAAUAAACUUCAAGUACUUUGUUCAUUCACUACACUACGCUUUGGCUGAAAAUUAAACUGUUUUAAUAAGUAAUCAAAAAGUUUUAAGUUUAAAUUCAUAAAUUCGCAAGUUAAAAAUGUGUGUUAUAUGUAUGUGCCAAAUUGAUGUGAACUAUCGAAUUGUUUAGUAUUUUGUUGUUUUCUUUACCGUUAAAAGCGCUGCACAAAAACUGGUUUGCAUUUCACAGCUGCAGCGUGAGUGUAAGAGAGCGAGUGUGUGUGUGUGUGUGUGUGUGUGUGAGUGUGUGUGUGCUUGUGUAUGUAUGAAUGAGAGAUGCAUGUGCAACUCGUUCUAUGGUGAGCCGCAAUUCUGUGAUAAGAGUUAUUUUUAUUACGCGCGUUUUUGUCUGAACUAAAUUAAAUAGUUCUGAUAUUCGAUAAUGAAAUGAUUAGCGGAUUUUAAAACUUUUUGCACUUCUCUCUUUCAGAUAGAAGCGUUGCCCCAUUUAAUUGUAAACGCCGCCCAUAAACACCACAUAACAAAUUUGUGCUCGUUUUCAGGUUGUCAGGUGAAUGUCGCAUGUCAAGGUCUUAUUAAACAUGAAAAUACUCUUAAAGCACAGCCCCAAAAAAGUCGCGUGUCUGUGUGGGUCUUUCGUUUGUCUGUCUGCGUGCCAUUGACAUUGACUUAUGGCUCGCGUUGGGAGAGGGGGCCACGGGCAGCUGGCGGCUGACGACUAACGCCUGGAGACUUACGACGGCUAGGGCUCGAGGUCGACCCUUUGACGCAAACUGUGGCUGAAUUUUUGCUUUAUGCUUCGUUCCGUUCCGUUUCUCGUUUCUCGUUUUCGUUUUCGUCUUCGUAUUCGCAUUCACUACUGCGAUGGCUACGCAUUUUUAUGGUUUGUUUUGCUUCUGUCCGCCAGUUCGUGGCGACGACGUCACACACACACACACACACACACGCAGAAAGAAUGCACGCACACAGACACACAAAAAGAGCCCCAAAAAAGCCUACGUGUUGUUUAUAUGGCGCGCAUGGAAAAGAGCAACAAAGAGAAUGAGAAAGGGAGAGAGAGAGAGAGAUAGGCUGAACGGUAAAGACAAAGAUGCCAUCUGUCUGGGAUGAUAAGUAAGCGCUUAGGCAUUGUUGCGGGCCACCAACUGAAUAAUUGACUUUUUGGCGGGGGCUGCGGUAACCUGUCUACAAUAGAAAGUAAUCCACGACUAAGAGAAUAAAUAAGAUGAUAAUAACAAUUAUUUCUCAUUACACUUUCGCAUCACUUUUCCUUUCAUUGAUUUCCAUCAUAUUUCCAGCCUUUGCUACGCCUAUUUUCUGCUCUGACCUUUCUGUUAUUGGGGCAGGCUCAGCUCUUUUAUCGUCUGUUUUUGUUUUUAGACUUCUCGAAGAUCAUUUACAAAGUGUUCAGACAAAGAGCAUGCAUACAAUUGGAACUAGCUAAGGCGGCAAAACUACGCAAAAUGCCCCCACUAGGUUGCAGAUGCAAAAUCCAUGAACCGCAGCGCGUACUGUGGGACAAGUGCUAGGUCUUAUCUAAAUCAUAUGCUAGACUCUUGGUACUUAUGGUAUUGUCAGCAACCACCAAAACGGCCACAUCAACUGCAUUGAAGGACAGGCGGCGGCAAAGGCGCAGGCCGGAAGCGUUUCCUGGUUCUGCUCAGGGGAAAAUGCUGGUAAACGAAACACUGCACGACACGGCACAGCACGGCACGGCACGGAACGACACGGCGCGACACGGACACGAGCCGGUACGAAGAAGGAAACGACAAUUACGGGGACUCGACGGUUAGUUUUUCCUGCCGGCGACUCAGUUGCGGCCGUGCAAUCGUCGGGUCAACAACGGUAGCUGCCUGCAGCACGAAUAUUAUUUGGUUAUUUGGUUUUGAAGAGCGUGCGAUGAAAACUGAGGUGUUUAUAGCGGAGCACUUAUUGUAGAGCCUGUGCAACUUCGUAUACGUAUACUGAAUGUAUCCUGAGUGUAUCCUAUCCGGUAUACCUUCAGUAUACGUAACACGAGGAAACACCAGCGACGCGGGAUGUGUGAUAUAUUUAGAUUGCAUUAAAAUAAAACACCAAAACACUUUGUAAAUACUGGAAAAACUGUUGAAUUUAUAUAAUAAAUGUAUUACAUAUUUUA